GAUCGAGUGGCAAAAUAUCUCGCGAGCCCUGGGCGCCUUCAGUUUCCCUUUCUCUAUCCAAUCUCCAUCGACCUACUACAACCGCCGCCUCCUCCUCGAUCCAUGUGCUCACCCUUUGCCGCCGCCACCGGAGAGGCUUGCCUCCGCGGCCGCACGCCUUAGAUCCGACGGAAGGAAAAGGAGGAAGAGACCCGCACUGUCCUGUUCCUUGAGGUGGUGGAGGAGCAGCCGAGGGCGACGACGGCGUCCUUGGCCGAGCACACGGACGGAAGGGGGGAGAGGAGUGUAGACGCUCGUGGGGAUUGAGGGGAAGGAGAAAGGUGAUGAUGAUGCCGGCUACUUGGGGAAGGGGAUGCGGGUGACCUGGGGCGAGUCAAGCGACCUGAGGCGAGGCCGGUGGCGACCUAUGGAAGGAAUGGGACGCCGGCGACCUUGGGAAGGAAGGGGAGGCCGGCGAAUUGGGGUAGGGGAUGCGGGUGACCUGGGGAAUGGCGGCUGGGAGCUGCUCAGCCCGUCGUCGCUGUCGGCCGCCGGCGACCACCGCCCGUUGCUUGGAGGAUGAGGGGAAUGGAGAAAGAGGAGCAGUAUCGGGAAGGAGUUUUGGGCGAUGGGCAGCCGCGCCAGGCGACAUGCUCGCGGUGCCGCUUGGUGGCUGAGAUGAGGCUGCCGCAUGCUCUGUUCCGAUGGGCCUCCUCUGCUCGAUGGUUGCACUGGUUGAGUUUGGUACGGUUCCUGUUGUCGGCUGCGUCGAGCCUUGGGUCUUGUCUGUCCUUCGCGUUGAGAUAAAUAGCACGGACAACAUAUCAGUGCUCUAUCUGUGUCUAAGGGCUCCAAGAGAUGCAGUCAUAGACAGUGACUGGUCCCUGAAGUUUGGGACGUUAAGGAUAAAAUCAAGCAGUUUUCAGAAACUUUUAGUUGUGGCUCAUGGGUUGGAGCAACUGGGAAACCAUUGACAAAUGUGGUCUCAGUUGGAGUUGGUGGUAGCUUCCUUGGACCUCUGUUUGUGGAUGCAGCUCUCCAGAUUGGUUGGAGGCAUUGGUGUGAGGGUGUUGUGGUGACGUGCUCCUCCAUGCGUCGUGCGAGUUCUUGGUGUCGCGGUCAUGACUCCAGAGAGCAGCGCUUCAAGGUCACUUAAGCUUGAAUGGGUUAUCAAGUCUACUGGAAGCAUUCAUGUUUAGCCUUGUUCAUUGGUUUUAGAACAGACGCUCCCUUAAGUAUGUUUAAUCACAAUUAAAAGGAGGAAGCCAAAUUAUUGCAAUGUAAGUCCCUGAACUCGGAGGCUUGAUCCACUAUCACUUGCUCCCGCCACUGUGUCAUAAUAUCUCAUUUUCAUAUAUAAGAUGAUAGUAACUGAAUGAUCAUAUUAGGAGUGCGUUAUUGGCAGCCUUGUGAGGUUUUCUUCGUAACUUCUUCUCCUAUUUUUAAUGUUUGUAUUCUCUUUGUUGCAAGGUGUGGCUGCAGGUAAAGUUGUCAAGUUGAUCUGGUGCUUGCUUGAGCCAUUGAUUACUGUUGCUUUGCUAAGGUUCAAUGUCUUACUACAUGAGAAAUUUAUUCCAAUGCUUUCUCAAUCCCUUUACCAUGAUGACUACCAGAGGAACCUUCAAUGUGUAUAGAUGGUGAUGGAUAUGGGGACACACAAGAACUAGCGAACUUAAUACCAGAUGCCCUCAACUAUGAAUUCUUUAAUUAUUGGAGGCUUUCAUAUUCAUAUCAAUACAAGGUGGGAUAUGAUGCAGGCUUUAGAAUCACUAAGGUUGCUCUUGCUCUGUUCCUUUGGUCAAGGUGUCGUGUUUGUGUGUUUGUUUUUGUGGUGCUGCUUAUAUGUGUGACUACCGUGUGAUCGUAUAUAUAUGCUGAAAAGUAAAAUGAUUUUUUCUUGGCACGAUACAUAAUUUGUAAUGAGAUGGUAGUACAUCAGUGUAUUUACAGGAAAAAAUUAUAGAAGUCUAUUAAUAACCCAGGGUGAAGAAUAAGUAAUUCUUCACCCCGGUCGAGCGGCCGAGCCUGGUUCUUUCGAUCGCACGCGCGUUGUGCCUCCGGCCGUCCAUCGUUACCCCACACGCGAGCGGCAGGUGAGCGCCAUGGCUCGGUGGUCGACGUGGGGAGCGGCGGUUGACCCGGUGGGGGCGCGACGGCGUGCUGCUGGAUGGGUUUACUCGUCGGCAGCAAUAUGGAUGACCACGGCUGCAAGGUGAGCGGGGUCCGGCCUGGGUGUUGGGAAGCACGCGUGUGGUAGUCGGCUGGCCAUGGCGGCGGUUGAGUUGGUGGUCACGGCGGCACAGGUUAGAUUGUGCGUGCUCUCCUCCAGCCACGGCUGCUUGCCCAUGUACUCUUUGAUAACUUAUAUCCAGCCAAGCGCUUGCCUUGACGUCCUCACAGCUGGAGAUCCAUGACUAAGAGCUCUCCUCAAUGUAUGCAGGUCUCCAUUCAAGCGGAUGAUGACAAAUGUAUGAUGGAUAGAGAGGAAUAAGUUUUCUAGAAAACGUCUUCGUAUUUUAGUGUAUGGUUUUUUAGAGAGGAGGCGCUUGCCCGGCUUUAGCGAAAUGAAGCCCUUAAAGCGUUUACAACCAGAGUAGCGAAACGAGAAUAAAAAAGGGGUUUCAUAGGGCUAACACACAAGGCCGAACGAAAACGAAAAACUGAGCAUAACGGAGGAUCAGUCUCCAGGCAUAUUUUUUAGUGAAAUAAGGUGGGUACAAGUAAUUCUAGAUCCAAAUUUAGAGCUUUUGCUGUAAUCAGUAGCAAAAUUCAAGAUUGCCGAGAAGAGAGGUGAAACUAAAGGCUUCAACACUAUUGUUAGGAUACUAUGUUGCUUCCAAGCUAUGGAUAGGAAUAGUUCAGUCGCUUGAGAGAUUGUUGAACAUAUGAAAUUGAUGGAAAUCUCUGGGCACCCUCAAGUUAAGCUGCUUGAAAACCAAGUUCAAAUAUGUGUGAGGGUAGUGCAGUUGGGCAUGUGAUUCUAUUGCACAUGAUGUAAUCGGACCAUUAGAUCAGUUUUGAAAUAGUGAUCUUCGAACAAUUUUUUCUGUACUUGUGGGGAUAGUUUUCAUUACUUGAGACAUUUCCCAGAACCAUUACUAGUCUUGUACGUUGAAUCAAUUUAUUAUACGGCUUUGUUAUUCCUAGGGACAUGUUGAUUGUUUUUCCAUUACAUAGCAUUGUUUUACGGCCAUCGGGCUACCAUCUGUUCCUUGAGGCUGGUGAUUGUACCGUAUUCGUGAUGAUACGUAUGUCCCUUUUAUGUUCCGUUCUUUAGAUAUUAAUGUUGUCAUCUCAAUCAGAACUGAGCAUCGGUUAUGGGCUUUUGGAUUGUGAUCAUCCUGCUGUGCUGACAUACUUCCCAAGAAGAAACAAAGCUUUUGCCUCCAUUUUUUCGGACUUGUGCCUGUUUUGCCCUACAAAGAUAAGAACGGAUGGUCUUUUCAAGAUUAUUUUUAUUUAAGAUUAUUUCGUGAUUAUCUUUGUAGGGCAAAUCCCACUUUUGGAACACAUUUUAAGAUUUUGGAUCUGGCAUUUUCAAGAUUAUUUCGUACCAUAAAAAAAUCAUUUAAUUUGCUCAUCUAACAGUAAAGUUAACAAGGCUCAGGAAUCAUUUUGUGUGUGUGUGUGUGUUCUAAAGCAACAAGGUCAUCUGGACCUCGCCAGAAAAACGAGAUGAUCCCGUUUAUAACUGUCGUGCAAAACAUUUUAGAAGAAAAUGCAGACAGGAAUUACACCGUAGACCAAUUUAUAGCAACGUAGUCUUAUCGUACAAAAAACGUCAGGUGCGCUUCCAUACUCACAGUAAAAUUAUAGCAAGAACAUUUAUGUUUUAUAGGGCUUUUUUGAUGUGCCAUAGGGCUUCUCACGUGCAUGAUGUAAAUUAUUGUCAUGCAGAAGGUAAUAUUACGUGGCUCCUUUUUGGUUUAUGGAAUGGAGAACGGUUCCUUCUUUAGAUGUAAUCUUACCUCAAGUGCUUUUGUGUUCUCACGUUUUAAAGGUGUGGCUGUGGAAGAUAGCUGGGGUGAGGAAUAAUUAUUCCUUUCUUCUACUCUUUCUUGAUGUAUGCUGUCAUAUAUUGCUUCUCUACUUGCUCAAAAUCAAAUUUGCAUCUAUGAAAAGGUAAGAAAUUAAGGCCAGUGAGAUGGCAGUAGAUUGGCAUGUUUACAGGAAAAAACAAAUAGCCAUGCAAGUUUGAAAGAACAUCUUUUUACUAUUUCUUGCUAUAUGCAUAUUUCCCAUCUUCUUCCUUCAGAAUCAAAUGUGCGUCUACUAAAGGAUAAGCAAUUAAGGCUGCAAUCUAAGAAUAGAAUCAAAUGUGCAUCUACUAAAGGAUAAGAAAUUAAGGCUGCAAUCUAAGAAUACUUUUAUUUGCCAUUCUGAAUUUCUAUCACAGCACAGAGGAAUGAGGAAUGGAUACAUGAGGCAUGGCGUAAGCGUAGGGGUCAGCCAGGGCACGACGCAGGAGUCUGCCCAUCUCCUCUCAAAGGCCUCUCAUUCUUUAACCCUGACUAUAAAAAUCCAUUGAUGGAAGCUGGGGAGGGCCGAGAUGAACAUCCGGCUCCGUGGGUCUAAGCCAUCGAGAUGGUAGAGACGACGUUUCUAUGUCAUCUACUCCAACUGCCGGACAAGGCAUAUAAAAACCAUGGAUCCUUGCUCUCCAGGCCGCAAAAUGAUCACAGUGAUGUCUACGCCUCCUCCUAGAUGUAUUAAUCUCAAUCUCAAUCUCAUGUUUGGUUUUCUUCACUUUUCUCUUCUAAUGAUGUAAUUUCUUUUAC